GAUAGGUGAAGCGCCCGGAAGGAAGAGGGCGUCCAAGCACGUAGGGGGUCAGGCAGGCAAAUCCGUCUGGCGUAACCUUGAGGUGUGAAGGGGAGGGAAAGCAAGUACCGAAGUCAUUGACUCCAAACUGCCAAGAAAAGCCUCUAGCAAGGAAACCGGUGCCCGUACCGCAAACCGACACAGGUAGGUGAGGAGAGAAUCCUAAGGCGCGCGAGAGAACCCUCGUUAAGGAACUCGGCAAAAUAACCCCGUAACUUCGGGAGAAGGGGUGCUCUGCUAGCGUGAGUAUGUUAAACAUGUACGAGCGUGAGAGAGCCGCAGAGAACAGGCCCAGGCGACUGUUUACCAAAAACACAGGUCUCUGCCAAAUCGAAAGAUGAAGUAUAGAGGCUGACGCCUGCCCGGUGCUGGAAGGUUAAGGGGAGAGGUUAGUCGAAUGGCGAAGCUUUGAACCGAAGCCCCAGUGAACGGCGGCCGUAACGAUAACGGUCCUAAGGUAGCGAAAUUCCUUGUCUGGUAAGUUCAGACCCGCACGAAAGGCGUAACGAUCUGGGCGCUGUCUCGACGAGGGGCUCGGUGAAAUUGUAAUACCGGUGAAGAUGCCGGUUACCUGCGAUAGGACAGAGAGACCCCGUGGAGCUUUACUGCAGCUUGAUAUUGGAUUUUGGUAGUUCAUGUACAGGAUAGGUGGGAGACUACGAAGGCAGGUCGCAAGGCUUGCUGGAGUCAGCGGUGGGAUACCACUCUUGAACUGCUGGAGUUCUAACCUGGCACCGUAAGCCGGUGCAGGGACAGUGUCUGGCGGGCAGUUUGACUGGGGCGGUCGCCUCCUAAAGAGUAACAGAGGCGCCCAAAGGUUCCCUCAGCGCGGAUGGAAAUCGCGCGAAGAGUGUAAAGGCAUAAGGGAGCUUGACUGCGAGAGAGACAUCUCGAGCAGGGACGAAAGUCGGGCUUAGUGAUCCGGCGGUACCGAGUGGAAGGGCCGUCGCUCAUCGGAUAAAAGCUACCCCGGGGAUAACAGGCUUAUCUCCCCCAAGAGUUCACAUCGACGGGGAGGUUUGGCACCUCGAUGUCGGCUCAUCACAUCCUGGGGCCGGAGAAGGUCCCAAGGGUUGGGCUGUUCGCCCAUUAAAGUGGUACGUGAGCUGGGUUCAGAACGUCGUGAGACAGUUCGGUCCCUAUCCAUCGCAGGCGCAGGAGAAUUGAGAGGAGCUGUCCCUAGUACGAGAGGACCGGGAUGGACAUACCGCUGGUGUACCAGUUGUCUCGCCAGAGGCACAGCUGGGUAGCUAUGUAUGGAAAGGAUAAGCGCUGAAAGCAUCUAAGCGCGAAGCCAACCUCAAGAUGAGUUCUCCCACCCCGCACGCAAGUGACGGGGGUAAGAUCCCAUCAAGACCAGGUGGUUGAUAGGCCGGGUGUGUAAGUGCAGCGAUGCAUUCAGCUGACCGGUACUAAUAGAUCGAGGGCUUGACCU
rnacentral:rRNA from 1 species